CGGUGAUGAUGGGUAAAGGUCAAGUGAGGCACAAAUCGGAUAGUUAGAGGUAAUGGACUCCAGUGAUGGAAAAUCCCCCUCUAGCUCUAAAGGGGUUAACAAGUAAAGGACAAAGGAGUCCAAUGAAAAGUUAAUAAGUAAAGCAUUGGCAGGAGUAUAUGUGCAUACAUGAAACAUUAACCCCAUGGAAAUGAAGAACGGCAAUUUAAUGGUAAUCCUUACUGACAUCUGAAGAGGUUAGGUAUGAUGAGAACCUAAAACUGAGACCACAAAGGGUUAGCAUCAUGUGAGAAUACUGCAUUUUACUAAUGGGUAUUGUAUUUGUUAAUACUAUGCUUGUUGUACUGUUUGAAAUGCAAUCCCCAAUCUAAUUAUUCUCUUACCAGGAAAUCCUAUUUAGUGUAAUAUAGCAUGAGUGCACCUUGUCCCAUAGGAUAUUCUGUCAUAGAGAGGUACAAUUCUUGGAGCUUUGCCAGUGGGCAUAGAUAGUGCAACCUACCCGCAAAACACAGGGGCUAACUAGCAAAGCUGCAAGUUCUGCUGGAUGUUCAGAGCUUUCGGAAAGUGUCUGCACAUUGAGGGAGCUCCCUGCCCUCCAUUAUGGAGAUCUCCCUUGUAUUAUGUUAUCCCCAGAAUGCACACAGGAGAUAGUUUGCAUCCCCUUCAGCCAUUUUCUCGAAAUAGCACAGACAUCCUGGCACCAGGGAUUGGCAUUUGCUCAAUACUUGGUUCCCAUUAGGUCACUGCUGCUUCUAAUCAGGUCAUCGCACAAGUUUUACUUAGUCCCACCUAUAUUUAACUUAUUUUACUGUAUAAAUACUCUGCAUGUUGUUCAAUAACUUACCAUUCGUCAUGUCCCUUCACUAAACCUUGUCUAGAGUUUGAAUUUGUCCUUCCGUCCAUUGGUUGACUGCUGGUUGUGCAAUACCACCGAGGAAGCUCAGGCUGAGUAGAAUGGAGGUACCAGGUUGCUGCAGUAGCUCCCGGAGAUCCUUGGUGGCACAGAGGCAAGUGUAGUAACAACUUCACGUCUAGACCCAGAUUUGGGUAACAGGUAUUCUGAUCCAACUACAAAAGGAAGGGAUACCUUUACAAUUUAAAUUUUUUGUGUGUCUUUAGUGUAGAUAAUAGUUUACUUGUGUUAUUUUCCUUAAUAAAGUUUAAUAUCCAGGUCAGUAGCACUAAAAUAAUAUAAAAUUAGGUGAUUAUGAAUUAUAUAUAGUAAGAGGAAGUAUUUCUAACAGCUCAAUCUUGUUUGGCCGUGUCCAAGUAUGUUUUAACAGUACAUGUCUGGAUGUGACAAAGAUGGUGUGGAAUGCAAGUAAGAUGACACAAAAGAAUGUGUCAAUAGCAGGUCGUAGUUAGCUCUCUUCAAUUAUGCUAAACAGGUGUUAGCACAGAGGCCACCAUGAUAGAGCACUUGAAGAACUCUUGUAAAAUUCUUUAUUUUGUACGUUUAGUCUGUGAAAUGCUAACUUUUGUUCUCUGUGGAGUGUGGAGAGCAGAACGUUGUUUUAAGGUCAUUGUUUAGAAGCAAAAUAGAAAAAAUUGUAUUCUUUAUUUAAGGAAAUGUGC